rnacentral:rRNA from 1 species
UGGCUCAGAACGAACGCUGGCGGCGUGCUUAACACAUGCAAGUCGAAACGCGAAAGGGGACUUCGGUCCUGAGUAAAGUGGCGCACGGGUGAGUAACGCGUAGAUAACCUGUCUUCAUGUCUGGAAUAAUACGCCGAAAGGGGUACUAAUACCGGAUAUUCUUGCUUUUCAUAAGUUAUGCAAGCAAAGGUGGCCUCUGCAUAUGCUACUGCAUGAAGAGGGGUCUGCGUACCAUUAGCUAGUAGGUGGGGUAAUGGCCUACCUAGGCGACGAUGGUUAGCGGGUCUGAGAGGAUGAUCCGCCACACUGGCACUGGAACACGGGCCAGACUCCUACGGGAGGCAGCAGUGAGGAAUAUUGCGCAAUGGGGGAAACCCUGACGCAGCGACGCCGCGUGAGUGAGGAAGGCCUUCGGGUCGUAAAGCUCUGUCAAGAGGAAAGAAGUGUACAAUGGCUAAUACCUGUUGUAUUUGACGGUACCUCUAAAGGAAGCACCGGCUAACUCCGUGCCAGCCGCCGC